AGCGAACGCUGGCGGCAGGCUUAACACAUGCAAGUCGAACGCCCGUAGCAAUACGGGAGUGGCAGACGGGUGAGUAACGCGUGGGAACAUGCCCUUUGGUUCGGAAUAACUCAGGGAAACUUGAGCUAAUACCGGAUCAGCCCGAGAGGGGAAAGAUUUAUCGCCGAAGGAUUGGCCCGCGUCCGAUUAGCUAGUUGGUGAGGUAAUGGCUCACCAAGGCGACGAUCGGUAGCUGGUCUGAGAGGAUGAUCAGCCACACUGGGACUGAGACACGGCCCAGACUCCGACGAGAGGCAGCAGUGGGGAAGAUUUGACAAUGGGGGCAACCCUGGUCCAGCCACGCCGCGUGAGUGAUGAAGGCCCUAGCGUUGUAAAGCUCUUUCGGCGGGGACGAUAAUGACGGGACCCGCAGAAGAAGCCCCGGCUAACGUCGUGCCAGCCGCCGCGGUAA
rnacentral:rRNA from 1 species